rnacentral:rRNA from 1 species
UACGGAGGGGACUAGCGUUGUUCGGAAUUACUGGGCGUAAAGCGCACGUAGGCGGAUUUGUAAGUCAGGGGUGAAAUCCCGGGGCUCAACCUCGGAACUGCCUUUGAUACUGCAAAUCUCGAGUCCGGAAGAGGUGAGUGGAAUUCCUAGUGUAGAGGUGAAAUUCGUAGAUAUUAGGAGGAAUACCGAUGGCGAAGGCAGGUCUCUGGGCUGACACUGACGCUCAUGCACGAAAGCGUGGGGAGCAAACAGG